GACAGAGGGUGCGAACGUUGUUCGGAAUUACUGGGCGUAAAGCGCAUGUAGGCGGCAGCGCAAGUCGGGCGUGAAAUCCCACGGCUCAACCGUGGAAGUGCACUCGAAACUGCGCAGCUAGAGUCCUGGAGAGGAAGGUGGAAUGCUUGGUGUAGAGGUGAAAUUCGUAGAUAUCAAGCGGAACACCGGUGGCGAAGGCGGCCUUCUGGGACAGUGACUGACGCUGAG
rnacentral:rRNA from 1 species